GUCGAGGGGCAACGGGGAUGUUAGCUUGCUAAUAUCUGCCGGCGACCGGCGCACGGGUGAGUAACGCGUAUGCGACCUGCCCGUCACAGGGGGAUAAUCCGGAGAAAUCCGGUCUAAUACCGCAUAAUAUCGUGAAUCUGCAUGGAUUUGCGAUUAAAGGAGCGAUCCGGUGACGGAUGGGCAUGCGUGACAUUAGCUAGUCGGCGGGGUAACGGCCCACCGAGGCGACGAUGUCUAGGGGUUCUGAGAGGAAGGUCCCCCACACUGGUACUGAGACACGGACCAGACUCCUACGGGAGGCAGCAGUGAGGAAUAUUGGUCAAUGGGCUAAGGCCUGAACCAGCCAAGUCGCGUGAGGGAAGACGGUCCUAUGGAUUGUAAACCUCUUUUGUCGGGGAGCAACGAGGCCACGUGUGGCCGAAGUGAGAGUACCCGAAGAAAAAGCAUCGGCUAACUCCGUGCCAGCAGCCGCGGUAAUACGGAGGAUGCGAGCGUUAUCCGGAUUUAUUGGGUUUAAAGGGUGCGUAGGCGGAACAUUAAGUCAGCGGUAAAAUCGAGGGGCUCAACCCCUUUAAGCCGUUGAAACUGGUGAUCUUGAGUGGGCGAGAAGUAUGCGGAAUGCGUGGUGUAGCGGUGAAAUGCAUAGAUAUCACGCAGAACUCCGAUUGCGAAGGCAGCAUACCGGCGCCCGACUGACGCUGAGGCACGAAAGCGUGGGGAUCGAACAGGAUUAGAUACCCUGGUAGUCCACGCAGUAAACGAUGAAUACUAACUGUCCGGGUCGAGCGAGAUCUGGGUGGUAAAGCGAAAGCGUUAAG
rnacentral:rRNA from 1 species